AGCCUCAUUCUAGAUGAAAAUGGACAUAGUUGAUCAUGAUGACUAGAAAUUGUUAAUGUGGAUAAACUGAGAUACAGUGAAUUUACUGCAGUGGUAUCAAUGAGACCGCUAACAGUU